UGGAGGCCCGAACCCACGCACGUUGAAAAGUGCGGGGAUGAGGUGUGGGUAGCGGAGAAAUUCCAAUCGAACCUGGAGAUAGCUGGUUCUCCCCGAAAUAGCUUUAGGGCUAGCCUUAAGUGUAAGAGUCUUGGAGGUAGAGCACUGAUUGGACUAGGGGUCCUCAUCGGAUUACCGAAUUCAGUCAAACUCCGAAUGCCAAUGACUUAUCCUUAGGAGUCAGACUGCGAGUGAUAAGAUCCGUAGUCAAAAGGGAAACAGCCCAGACCGCCAGCUAAGGUCCCAAAGUGUGUAUUAAGUGGAAAAGGAUGUGGAGUUGCUUAGACAACUAGGAUGUUGGCUUAGAAGCAGCCACCAUUUAAAGAGUGCGUAAUAGCUCACUAGUCGAGUGACUCUGCGCCGAAAAUGUACCGGGGCUAAAUACACCACCGAAGCUGCGGAUUGAUACCAAUGGUAUCAGUGGUAGGGGAGCGUUCUAAGGACAGUGAAGUCAGACCGGAAGGACUGGUGGAGUGCUUAGAAGUGAGAAUGCCGGUAUGAGUAGCGAAAGACGGGUGAGAAUCCCGUCCACCGAAUGCCUAAGGUUUCCUGAGGAAGGCUCGUCCGCUCAGGGUUAGUCAGGACCUAAGCCGAGGCCGACAGGCGUAGGCGAUGGACAACAGGUUGAUAUUCCUGUACCACCUCUUUAUCGUUUGAGCAAUGGAGGGACGCAGAAGGAUAGAAGAAGCGUGCGAUUGGUUGUGCACGUCCAAGCAGUUAGGCUGAUAAGUAGGCAAAUCCGCUUAUCGUAAAGGCUGAGCUGUGAUGGGGAAGCUCCUUAUGGAGCGAAGUCUUUGAUUCCCCGCUGCCAAGAAAAGCUUCUAGCGAGAUAAAAGGUGCCUGUACCGCAAACCGACACAGGUAGGCGAGGAGAGAAUCCUAAGGUGUGCGAGAGAACUCUGGUUAAGGAACUCGGCAAAAUGACCCCGUAACUUCGGGAGAAGGGGUGCUUUCUUAACGGAAAGCCGCAGUGAAUAGGCCCAAGCGACUGUUUAGCAAAAACACAGCUCUCUGCGAAGCCGUAAGGCGAAGUAUAGGGGGUGACACCUGCCCGGUGCUGGAAGGUUAAGGAGAGGGGUUAGCGUAAGCGAAGCUCUGAACUGAAGCCCCA
rnacentral:rRNA from 1 species